GGCCCAGUGGCCUAAUGGAUAAGGCACCAGCCUUUAAAGCUGGGGAUUGUGGGUUCAAGUCCCACCUGGGAUG
rnacentral:tRNA from 2 species